rnacentral:rRNA from 1 species
UCUACGGGAGGCAGCAGUGAGGAAUAUUGGUCAAUGGGCGAGAGCCUGAACCAGCCAAGUCGCGUGAGGGAGUACUGCCCUAUGGGUUGUAAACCUCUUUUGUCGGGGAGCAAAAGCCGGACGUGUCCGGCUGUGAGAGUACCCGAAUAAACAGCAUCGGCUAACUCCGUGCCAGCAUCCGCGGUAAUACGGAGGAUGCGAGCGUUAUCCGGAUUUAUUGGGUUUAAAGGGUGCGCAGGCGGGUUUUUAAGGUAGGGGUCAAAUAGUGGGGGUCAACCCCAUCGAGCCGUUGAUACUGGGGAUCUAGAGUGUGCGUGAGGUAUGCGGAAGGCGUGGUGUAGCGGUGAAAUGCAUAGAUAUCACGCAGAACCCCGAUUGCGAAGGCAGCAUACCGGUGCACAACUGACGCUCAGGCACGAAAGCGUGGGUAUCGAACAGGAUUAGAUACCCUUGUAGUC